UUAGUAAAAGAAGGAUACAAGAUUGCAAUGAAGUAUUGAAUGAGUUGAAUUAGUGAAACAUAAAUUACUCUAUACUUUUUUAUUGUACAGGUAAUCAUGCUAUUCUAUUUUAAUGUCACUAUCUUAUUAUAACGGAGGCUUUUAUUUUUCUCUUCUAUUUUAAUGUCACUAUCUUAUUAUACCGGAGGCUUUUAUUUUUCUCUUCUUUCAUUUUACAGGAAUCUGGUCUUUUCAAGGAUUACUCAUCCAUAUGAGGCUCAUCAGUAGAAAGUGGGGAAAAAAUUAUAUUCAAAUUCAUUGAACAAGACUAUGUAUUUUUUUUUGCUUGAAAACUUACUUUGUAUUUCUAAAUAUGAUACUCCAUGGUGUAUCGAGUGGUGGGAGGAAUAAAAUAAGAAUCCUA
rnacentral:lncRNA from 1 species